rnacentral:tRNA from 1 species
AUUAUAUUCAAUAAAGUUAAAUUAUUUCUUAAAGUUUCAAAAACUUUCGUACAUCCUAUACUAGAAUA